AACGAACGCUGGCGGCGCGUCUUAAGCAUGCAAGUCGAACGGCAAGAUUGGUGCUUGCACCGAUCCUAGAGUGGCGGACUGGUGAGUAACGCGUGGGUGACGUACCCUAAGGAUGGGGAUAGCUGGUAGAAAUAUCAGAUAAUACCGAAUAUCCUUAUUGUUGUUAGAGGACAGUAAGGAAAGGAGCGUUGGCGUCGCCUAAGGAUCGUGACGCGUACUAUUCGAUAGUUGGUGAGGUAACGGCUCACCAAGGCGACGAUAGUUAUCCGGCCUAAGAGGGUGAACGGACGCAUUGGGACUGAGAUACGGCCCAGACUCCUACGGGAGGCAGCAGCUAAGAAUAUUCCGCAAUGGAGGAAACUCUGACGGAGCGACGCCGCGUGGAUGAUGAAGGCCGGAAGGUUGUAAAAUCCUUUUAAGCAAGAAGAAUAAACUUUACAGGGAAUAGUAGAGUGGUGACGGUAUUGCUUGAAUAAGCAACGGCUAAUUACGUGCCAGCCGCCGCGGUAAGAC
rnacentral:rRNA from 1 species